AAUUCUGAAGGAUCAUCUUCUCAUCUUAAUAAUCUCCUGAGGAUCAUUCACUGACAGGCACAAACUUCUGCAGUGAUGGCCACAAUGAAGACUCUUCUGUUGUUUUGCUCAGUGAUUUCUUUAAUCUUUCUUUACGGUGUACAAGGUGAGUGAAGUUAAAUAUGUAUUUAUUG